rnacentral:rRNA from 1 species
UACAGAGGGUGCAAGCGUUGUCCGGAAUCACUGGGCGUAAAGGGCGCGUAGGCGGCCUGAUAAGUCGGGGGUGAAAUUCUGCGGCUUAACCGCAGGACGGCCUUCGAGACUGUCGGGCUUGAGCACGGUAGAGGCUGGUGGAAUUCCCGGUGUAGCGGUGGAAUGCGUAGAGAUCGGGAAGAACAUCGGUGGCGAAGGCGGCAUCCUGGACCAAUAUUGACGCUGAGGAGCGAAAGCCAGGGGAGCAAACGGG